AGUCGUAACAAGGUAACCGUAGGUGAACCUGCGGUUGGAUCAUUACAAAAAGAAGGGCUCUUGAGCCUGACUUUAAAAUGGGGCUGCCUAAAAAACAGCUCUUGACACCCCUUGUGAACUGUGAAUGUCCCUGGCGGGAGUACUUUCGAGUCCCCGCCAGUUUAUUGUCAAACCCCUGUUUAAAAAAGUCUUAGUAAAAUGUAAUAAUUUGAAACAACUUUUGACAACGGAUCUCUUGGCUCUC
rnacentral:misc_RNA from 1 species